AGAGUUUGAUCCUGGCUCAGGACGAUUGCUGGCGGCGUGCCUAACACAUGCAAGUCGAACGAAGCUUGAUUUCAGAUUUCUUCGGAAUGACGAAUGAUAUGACUGAGUGGCGGACGGGUGAGUAACGCGUGAGCAACCUGCCCUUCAGAGGGGGAUAGCGUCUGGAAACGGACGGUAAUACCGCAUAACGUAUGAUGAUCGCAUGGUCGACAUACCAAAACUGAGGUGCUGAAGGAUGGGCUCGCGUUGGAUUAGAUAGUUGGUGGGGUAACGGCCUACCAAGUCGACGAUCCAUAGCCGGACUGAGAGGUUGAACGGCCACAUUGGGACUGAGACACGGCCCAGACUCCUACGGGAGGCAGCAGUGGGGAAUAUUGCACAAUGGGGGAAACCCUGAUGCAGCAACACCGCGUGAAGGAAGACUGUUUUCGGAUUGUAAACUUCUGUUCUUAGUGAAGAUAGUGACGGUAAGCUGGGGCGCCUGCCCCGGCUAACUACAUACCAACACCCCCAGUACUACCUAAGUGGCGGGCGUUGUCCGGUCUUGCUGGGUGUAAAGGGAGCGCGGGCGGGGCGCCNNGUCUGCUGUGUUUGCUNCGGGCUUGCCCUGUCGCCUGCNGUUGNUCCUGGUUUUCUUGUGUGAAGUAGAGGUGGCGGUCCUCCUUGUGAAGCGGUAAAAUGCGUAGAAUAUAGGAAGAACACCGGGGGGGAGGCGGCCGUCUGGUCUGUUGCUGACACUGAAAGCACGAAAGCGGGGGAGCAAAUAGGAUUAGAUACCCUAGUAGUCCACGCCGUAAACGAUGAUUACUAGGUGUGGGGGGACUGACCCCUUCCGUGCCGCAGCAAACGCAAUAAGUAAUCCACCUGGGGAGUACGACCGCAAGGUUGAAACUCAAAGGAAUUGACGGGGGCCCGCACAAGCAGUGGAGUAUGUGGAUUAAUUCGAAGCAACGCGAAGAACCUUACCAGGUCUUGACAUCGUAUGCAUAGCUCAGAGAUGAGUGAAAUCUCUUCGGAGACAUAUAGACAGGUGGUGCAUGGUUGUCGUCAGCUCGUGUCAUGAGAUGUUGGGUUAAGUCCCGCAACGAGCGCAACCCCUAUCCUCAGUAGCCAGCAUUUAAGGUGGGCACUCUGGGGAGACUGCCAGGGAUAACCUGGAGGAAGGCGGGGAUGACGUCAAAUCAUCAUGCCCCUUAUGAUUUGGGCUACACACGUGCUACAAUGGCGUAAACAAAGGGAAGCGAGAUCGUGAGAUGGAGCAAAUCCCAAAAAUAACGUCCCAGUUCGGACUGUAGUCUGCAACCCGACUACACGAAGCUGGAAUCGCUAGUAAUCGCGGAUCAGAAUGCCGCGGUGAAUACGUUCCCGGGUCUUGUACUCACCGCCCGUCA
rnacentral:rRNA from 1 species